rnacentral:rRNA from 1 species
UCAAGUUACAAAGGGCGUAUGGUGGAUGCCUAGGCACUUAGAGCCGAAGAAGGACGCAGCGAGCGGCGAAACGCUCCGGGGAGUCGCAAGCAGACGUAGAUCCGGAGAUCUCCGAAUGGGGAAACCCGCUUAAGGUAAUACUUAAGCAUCCCAUGGUGAACACAUAGCCAUGAGGAGGGGACACCGCGUGAACUGAAACAUCUAAGUAGCGCGAGGAGAAGAAAGAAAAAGUCGAUUUCCUAAGUAGCGGCGAGCGAAAAGGAAAGAGCCCAAACCAUCACCGCAGGUGAUGGGGUUUAGGACCACGAGAAGGUAUAUGGAGUGAAGCCGAACAGACCUGGGAAGGCAGGCCAAAGAAGGUGAAAGCCCUGUAGGCGUAAGCGAAAUAUACCGAGUGGGAUCCAGAGUACCACAGGAUAGGCAACCCGGUGGGAAGACGGGAGGACCAUCUCCCAAGGCUAAAUACUCCUAAGUGACCGAUAGCGCAAAGUACCGUGAGGGAAAGGUGAAAAGAACCCCGGGAGGGGAGUGAAAGAGAACCUGAAACCAUAUGUCCACAAGCAGUGGAAGUCCGGCACUCAACUGAACAUGUUAGAGAGAAGAAAAAAAGAACUAGCGUGUCCAGUUGAGAGCCGGACGACCACGUACUUUUUGUAGAACGGACCGGCGAGUUAUAGAUAUGCAGCGAGGUUAAGCGAAAGCGGAGCCGAAGCGAAAGCGAGUCUUAAGAGGGCGAAAGUUGCAUAUCAUAGACCCGAAACCGUGCGACCUACCCAUGAUCAGGGUGAAGCCGGAGUAAGAUCUGGUGGAGGCCCGAACCACGUUGACGUUGAAAAGUCAUGGGAUGAAUUGUGGGUAGCGGAGAAAUUCCAAUCGAGCUCGGAGAUAGCUGGUUCUCCCCGAAAUAGCUUUAGGGCUAGCCUCAGGGGGGGUAAAUAUGGAGGUAGAGCACUGAAUGGACUAGGGGCCAAAAAGGUUACCGAACCCUAUCAAACUCCGAAUGCCAUAUUGAGAACCCUGGGAGUCAGACUACGAGUGAUAAGAUCCGUGGUCAAAAGGGAAACAGCCCAGACCGACAGCUAAGGUCCCAAAGAGCAUGUUAAGUGGGAAAGGAAGUAGGAUUUCCAAGACAACCAGGAUGUUGGCUUAGAAGCAGCCAUACAUUCAAAGAGUGCGUAAUAGCUCACUGGUCGAGAAAUCCCGCGCCGAAAAUAAACGGGGCUAAAACAUGCCACCGAAGCUACGGAUUCGAAAGAAUGGUAGGGGAGCGUACUGUACAGGGCGAAGGAUAAGCGUAAGCGAAUCUGGACAGUACAGUAGAGAGAAUGCCGGUAUAAGUAACGAGAGUAAGGCGAGAAACCUUACCGUCGAAAGCCUAAGGUUUCCUGGGGAAGGAUAAUCCGCCCAGGGUAAGUCGGGACCUAAGCCGAGGCGAAAGCGUAGGCGAUGGACAACCGGUAAUAAAUCCGGUACCACCGAAAUCCGUCAAAAGAGAAGCAAGGACGCAGCGAGAUAAGAAAAGCGUGCGGUUGGUAGAGCACGUCCAAGCAGCGACGAAAAGAGCUUUGAGUGAAGUACCAAAGCUCAUAAGAGCUGUGAAGGGGAGCCGAAAGGCGAAGUUUCGAAGGGGCUGCCAAGAAAAGUUGCUAUCGAGGAUAGAGGUGCCCGUACCAGAAACCGACACAGGUAGGCGAGGAGAGAAUCCAAAGACGAGCGGGAGAACCCUCAUUAAGGAACUCGGCAAAAAGACUCCGUAACUUCGGGAGAAGGAGUGCCGAAAGGCCGCAGAGAAGAGGCCCAAGCGACUGUUUACCAAAAACACAGGUUUCUGCUAAGUCGAAAGACGAAGUAUAGGAGCUGACGCCUGCCCGGUGCUGGAAGGUUAAGGGGAAGGGUCAGGAGGAAAUCCAAAGCUCUGAACUUAAGCCCCAGUAAACGGCGGCCGUAACUAUAACGGUCCUAAGGUAGCGAAAUUCCUUGUCGGGUAAGUUCCGACCUGCACGAAAGGCGUAACGACUUGGGCGCUGUCUUGAUGGGGGACCCGGUGAAAUUGUAGUACUCGUGAAGAUGCGAGUUACCCGCGACAGGACAGAAAGACCCCAUGGAGCUUUACUGCAGCUUGUCACUGAAUUUUAGUAAUAUCUGUACAGGAUAGGUGGGAGGCGGAGAAAGAUGGGCGCAAGCCUAUCUGGAGCCGACGUUGGGAUACCACCCUGAUAUUACCGAAAUUCUAACAUAGGAGCCGUAAGCCGGCAUAUGGACACUGACAGGCGGGCAGUUUGACUGGGGCGGUCGCCUCCCAAAGAGUAACGGAGGCGUCCAAAGGUUACCUCAGCGCGGAAGGAAAUCGCGCGUAAGAGUGCAAAGGCAGAAGGUAGCCUAACUGCGAGAAAGACAAUUCGAGCAGGGACGAAAGUCGGGCUUAGUGAUCCGGCGGUAGAGAAUGGGAUUGCCGUCGCUCAACGGAUAAAAGCUACCCUGGGGAUAACAGGCUGAUCUCCCCCAAGAGUCCACAUCGACGGGGAGGUUUGGCACCUCGAUGUCGGCUCAUCGCAUCCUGGGGCUGAAGUAGGUCCCAAGGGUUGGGCUGUUCGCCCAUUAAAGCGGUACGCGAGCUGGGUUCAGAACGUCGUGAGACAGUUCGGUCCCUAUCCGUCGCGGGCGUAGGAAAUUUGAGAGGAACUGCCCUUAGUACGAGAGGACCGGGGUGGACAAACCGAUGGUGUACCAGUUGCGAAGCCAUUCGCACAGCUGGGUAGCCAAGUUUGGAAGGGAUAAACGCUGAAAGCAUCUAAGCGUGAAACCCACCUCAAGAAAAGAUUUCCCAUCUGGCACUCAACUAUACUUACUGAAGGAAAAAAGCACUAUGUACAAAUGUUAGGGAAUGAAAUAAAAUAGAUUACAGUAGGUAGAGUUGAGUGCCAGAGUAAGACACCUUGGAGAAGACGAGGUAGAUAGGCCGGAGGUGUAAGAGUAGAAAUACUUUGAGCUGACCGGUACUAAUAAGUCGAGGACUUGACCAA